AUGGACCAGGCUUUUUAUCCACUGUAUGCUCAGGGUGGUAAUGAUGGACGCCCUUGUGCAUACCAGCCCGGGAGCAUCCAGCUCCAUGCUCCAUUUCCCCAGGUCCAGAAUCAGCACAACCAGCCUGUGGUCAUUGUUCAACCCUCUGCGAACAUGAGGCAAAAUCCACCGGCCGAGCCUGUGCCGGAUUACAUGUGUUACUCCAGAUUUACCACACUGUGCUGCUGUAUCUGCCUGGGACUUUGUGCUCUUUAUUACUCUAAAGAAGUCAGGUGCUAUGGAAACUCCUCCAGUGCAGAAUGGAAAACCACAAAGCUGAGGACUCGCUCUGCUAAUGCUGCUGGACAGAGAGGAGAAGCCGCGAGAAACUCUCAAACUGCACUCAUCCUGAACCAUAUCUCUGUUGUUGUGGGAAUCAUCCUGAUUGGAGUAUAUCUCUUCAACGAAUUUUACCUAUCAGAUCAAAAAUUUCAUCUAUAAUUAUCUUUCCUAAGUUACAACCCAUCUACUUUUUAGGCAAAUUUGGUGUUGUGUACUCCCAUGCAAUGUUUUAAUAAUUUUGUUCAGUUUGCAGAUCUGAAUAGUUUCAUCAUUGCAUUAAAUAUUGUUCUAUGUUUAUAUGUGGAAAUUUUUUAUCUUUCAAUCUUUUUUAAACUGGAAUAAUUGGGAUUUUUAACAAACAUGUUUUAAUAGACAAAUUAAAUCAAGUUAAGAAUAGAGAAACUUUUUUUUUCAGUGUACAUUUUUCAUCCUCAUUUUCUCUGAUGACUCAAAAAUCUACGCUUGACCUGAGAUUUUGUGAAUAACAAAGUCCAUUUACAAUUUAAAUAGAAACAAACUUUGUUUUUGAUCCUUGCAAAGAGCUAGAAACAAAUGAAUCAGUUGACUUAUGAUUUUGAAAUAGCCCCAAAAAAGUGUAAAUAAAUAAAUAGUAUGAAUUAUUUGUUUAUUAAAA
ensembl:lncRNA